rnacentral:rRNA from 1 species
AGAGUUUGAUCCUGGCUCAGAACGAACGCUGGCGGCAGGCCUAACACAUGCAAGUCGAGCGCCCAGCAAUGGGAGCGGCGGACGGGUGAGUAACACGUGGGAAUUUUCCUCAAGGUACGGAACAACUCAGGGAAACUUGGGCUAAUACCGUAUGAUGCAGAGAUGCCAAAGAUUUAUCGCCCUGGGAUAAGCCCGCGUCAGAUUAGGUAGUUGGUGGGGUAAUGGCCUACCAAGCCUGUGAUCUGUAGCUGGUCUGAGAGGACGAUCAGCCACAUUGGGACUGAGACACGGCCCAAACUCCUACGGGAGGCAGCAGUGGGGAAUCUUGCGCAAUGGGCGAAAGCCUGACGCAGCCAUGCCGCGUGAAUGAUGAAGGUCUUAGGAUUGUAAAGUUCUUUCGCUCGUGACGAUGAUGACGGUAACGAGAGAAGAAGCCCCGGCUAACUUCGUGCCAGCAGCCGCGGUAAUACGAAGGGGGCUAGCGUUGUUCGGAAUUACUGGGCGUAAAGCGCGCGUAGGCGGCUUUGCAAGCCAGAGGUGAAAUGCCUGAGCUCAACUUAGGAAUUGCCUUUGGGACUGCGAGGCUUCGAGGACGGAAGAGGUGAGUGGAAUUCCCAGUGUAGAGGUGAAAUUCGUAGAUAUUGGGAAGAACACCGGUGGCGAAGGCGGCUCACUGGUCCGUUUCUGACGCUAAAGCGCGAAAGCGUGGGGGAUCAAACAGGAUUAGAUACCCUGGUAGUCCACGCUGUAAACGAUGAGUGCUAGGCGUCGGCACGCUUGCGUGUCGGUGCCGCAGCUAA